rnacentral:rRNA from 1 species
UACGGAGGGGGCUAGCGUUGUUCGGAAUUACUGGGCGUAAAGCGCACGUAGGCGGACCAUCAAGUCGGGGGUGAAAUCCCGGGGCUCAACCCCGGAACUGCCUCCGAAACUGUUGGUCUGGAGGAUGAGAGAGGCGAGUGGAAUUCCGAGUGUAGAGGUGAAAUUCGUAGAUAUUCGGAGGAACACCAGUGGCGAAGGCGGCUCGCUGGCUCAUUUCUGACGCUGAGGUGCGAAAGCGUGGGGAGCAAACAGGAUUAGAAACCCCCGUAGUCC